AAAUACAAACAAAUGACGAACAAAAUAGUGGUGAUACUGGAAAACUAGUAUAUCAGAGUGUCGACGUUUAUUAAAAAGAAAUAUCUAUUAUAUAUCAGAAAAACAUGUUGUUAGUUAAUGAAUAUGAAUUAAUGUUUAAUAAAAAAAAUGUAUGUAAACGGGAUAUUAAUAAAGUUUACUAUGUGUCAAAAAUUUAAUGUGCGGCAGUAGUGUUACAAUUCCAUUGUUUUUAAU